AUGUUCCACCACCUCCGAACGCGCGUCCUUCCUCUCCUCCUCCGCUACCCACCAUCCCAUCCCCCCGCCUCCCACCUCGUUCCCCUCCACCGCCUCCUCUCCACCACCGCAUCCAUCUCCCCCAAACCUUUCUCCGCCAAGGACUUCCUCGUCACCGACUGCGGCCUCACCCGAGCGCAGGCCCUCAAGGCCUCCAGAAGGCUCUCCAACCUCACUUCCCUCUCGAAGCCCCAGGCCACGGUGGCCUUUCUCUUGGGUCGCGGCGUCCCCCGCUCCGACAUCGCCGUCGCCGUGGUCGCCGAUCCGUCCCUCCUGUACGCCAGCGUGGGGAUGGUCCUCGCCCCCCGCUUCGCCGAGCUUAGCGAACUCGGCUUCUCGCCUUCGCAGAUCGUGGCCAUCCUCUCGAUCCGCCGCACGGGCGCUCUCCGCGGCAACCUCCUGUUCUGGUUCGGGAUCUUCGACUCCUACCCCAAGCUGCUCUUUCUGGCAAAGUCAAACCGCGAGCUCCUCAGCGCCAGCAUCGAGAAGGUGAUCAAGCCGAACCUGGCCACCCUCCAAGAAUGUGGGAUAAGUGCUCCUGAUAUUGCAGUUUUAAGCUUGUACUCCUGUCGGUUGUUCACCGUGAAACCCAAGUUUCUGGUGGACGCCGUGGCGCGGAUCGAGGAGUUAGGCGUGCAGCGAAGCUCGUGGAUGUUCCGCCGUGCACUCGCUGCACUCGCCUUCAAGAGCAAGGACGUUCUCGCCAGGAAAAUACAAUUUUUACAUACGCUUGGGUUUUCACAGGAUGAUUUGGUGAAUAUCGCCAAGAAGGCGGCACUUGUCCUGGCUUUAUCUGAUAAAAAGAUUCAGCGAUCUGUGGGGUUCUUAAUGAAGGAUGUCGGUCUGCAGGCUUCGUACAUUGCUCGAAGGCCAGCGCUGAUCAUGUAUAGCGUUGAGAGGUGGUUGUUGCCCCGGUACUCCCUGCUUAAGCUUCUCAGGCAGAAGGGAUUACUGGACGUGGAAUUGGACUAUUAUACCAUGGCAUCGCUGGCUGAGAAGAAGUUUGUGCAGAAUUUUGUGGAUCCUUAUAAGGAUAGUGUUCCAGGCCUAGUUGAUGAGUAUGCCUCUGCAUGUCGUGGGAAAGCACCAAAAGGAAGUGCUCGGCUACAACGCUGA
rnacentral:rRNA from 1 species